rnacentral:rRNA from 1 species
UACGAAGGGGGCUAGCGUUGCUCGGAAUGACUGGGCGUAAAGGGCGCGUAGGCGGAGUGCUUUGUCGGGCGUGAAAUUCCAGGGCUCAACCUUGGGGCUGCGUUCGAGACGGGCAUUCUAGAGUGCGGCAGAGGGAGAUGGAAUUCCGCGUGUAGCAGUGAAAUGCGUAGAUAUGCGGAGGAACACCGAUGGCGAAGGCAAUCUCCUGGGCCUGCACUGACGCUCAUGCACGAAAGCGUGGGGAGCAAACAGG